UACGUAGGGGGCGAGCGUUGUCCGGAUUCAUUGGGCGUAAAGAGCUCGUAGGCGGCUUGGUUAGUUGGGUGUGAAACCUCCAGGCUUAACCUGGAGACGCCACUCAAUACUGCCAUGGCUAGAGUCCGGUAGGGGACCACGGAAUUCCUGGUGUAGCGGUGAAAUGCGUAGAUAUCAGGAGGAAUACCGAUGGCGAAGGCAGGUCUCUGGGCUGACACUGACGCUCAUGCACGAAAGCGUGGGGAGCAAACAGG
rnacentral:rRNA from 1 species